CAUUCCUUAUGUUAAAUCAUCAUAUGUGUAGGCCUAAUCAUGUGGAUAUUUUCAUCUUAGUAUCAGCAGUCCGCAUGGAAGGGAUUUGCUAGUAUGAAAUGAUCCAGGUGAUCCACACAAUGCUGAUGUCCCUUACAUUACUGAUGUGCGAUGGGAGCCAGGUAUGGGGGAUCAGUUCUAACCAAAUUAUAUAAUAUAACCUUUUCUUAAGAUUAUUAUUAUUAUUCUCUUGCUAAUUAUGCAUUUAUAUGUGCAUUUUAUAUCCAACUUCCUUUACUAAUGUUUUCUUUUGAAAGGUUAAGUUUUUUUUGUUAAUUUUGCUGUAUUGUGUUCAUUCUGCACUUGACCUCCUUUGUAAUGUUUUAUUUUGAAAUCUUUAAGAUAAUAUGCUAGUCUCCUGUUAAUUAUGUUGCUUUGAAUGCAUACUUUAUAUCUGACUUUCUUCUGUAAUGCUUUAUUCUACAUUGUACUAUUUUAUGCUUUAAUGGAAGUUGUAAAUGACUUUGAGAUUUUUUUCUGUAAAAUAUAAAACAAUAUAGAAAUGAAAUGAAAAAAUAAUAAUAGUAAUCCCGUCUAUGCCAGAAAAAUAUCAAAGUAAAUAGAUUUUAGAUGUGGCCAUUAAUAGUCCUCCACCUUCUGACUUUGUUCCAAUAUCAACAUGUCCUAUACAGCAUCAGGGUGUAUCACUGUAUGCAGUUGUGACAUUUUCAUUGAUAUCAGUAUUAUCUGGAUUCUACCCUUCUCUAAUUCAGCAAAUAUAGAUUAAAGUGAAGCUGAUUUUGAAGUUCUAUUUGGGGACUUCUGGAAGUAUUCUAACUUUGACUAAUUGGACAACUCUGCAGAGACAUUUAUUGAUAAGAGUGUCUACUAGAAAUUACAUAUCUGGAGAAGGAAAAGGCAGUGGAAAGGAUUCAUGCACCUUACUAAUUGACAAAAAAAUUAGAUGGUUCCUGUCUCAUUCUGUUUGAGAAGGCAUGCUACCCAACUGCACCCAUUCCUUGGAAAUGCUUAAGAGGAAUAUGGUGGUGGGCAGGUUCGCUGUGGGGUUUUCCAUAUCUCCUAUGCAUGUAGAUGCAAGGAAAUAAUUAUCACCACUGCCCAGCUCCUCCUCCUACUACUACUAAUUUUAUUAUCUGCCCCACCCACACUGGGAGGUUUCCAACACAUAUAAAAACAUAAUAAAACAUUACACAUUAAAAAGCUUCCCUUAUGGGGCUGCCUUCAGAUGUUAAUCUGCCUUCAGAUAAAGUUCACCUAGUUAUUAAUCUCCUUGAUAUCUGAUGGGAGGGUGUUCCACAGGGUGGGUGCCACUGCCAAGAAGGCCCUCUCCCUGGUUCCCUGUAGCUUCACUUCUCGCAGUGAGGGAACCGCCAGAAGGCCCUCGGUGCUGGAUCUCAGUGUCCGGGCUAAACCAUGGGGGUAAAGAAGCUCCUUCCGAUAUACAAGGCUAAGGGCCUCUCUGGCUUUGGAUAGCAAAGGAACAGCAGUCAUCUUGAUUUUGUUUACCCCAACACAAACUCAUUUUAACAUAAGGAAGGAUUUUUGCAACUAUCCCAUUCAGUAUUUAAAAGGAUUAUAGGAAGCAGCCUGAUAGUGAGUAAGACCAUCUAUCCUGAAUGGCAGUGGAUUUCCAGGGUUUCAGAGAGGUGACUUUAUGAAUCUUGGAGAUGGCAGGGAUUGAACCUGGGAACUCCGCAUUCAACACAGAUGUUCUACCAUAGAGCUACAGUCAUCCCCCAUGGUUUAAUUCAUGCUUUGUGGUUUCAAGAGCCUUUGAUACUGUAUCCAUUUCAAUAUAGUUCCUUUGCUAAGCAUAGUAAAUAACCUUUUGAGACAUCAAGGUGAAUAAAACAUGAGCUUUCAUAUGAAAAAGUACCAGAUACAAUCGUAGAAUCAAAGAAAGCAAGAUAGCCAUGAUUCCAGUCUGUCUGAGUACAAUUUCCAACCAGUACUUUGGCAGACACCAUAGAUGCCAGCCAUAUGUUUCGAAUCAUCUACUUUUUAUCACAUGUCAGAUGUGCAGUGUAAUGUUACUAGUCAGUGAAAUACAACGUGGAUUGGAGUCACAGAAAAACAAGCACGGUAGUAACAUGUACAUUUAGAUCUGACAGCUGCUAUCCAUUGGGGGAACAAGCAUCUUUUUGUCAUAAAAUGAAAAAGCAAGGAACAGAAUUUCAGGAAAAUUGACCUAAUAUUAUUGCCAGUGGCCUCCAGUUUACCACCUUUCAAUUUUAAACUUUGGCCUUCAAAAGAUUUCGGGCAGAAGACUUUACAAUUCAUGGUAUGUGUGUGUGAAGGUGUGUGUGUUCUUAACACAAAACAACCCAUUGCUGACAAAAUGUCAAUAAAGGAAAAUGUUUUAGAAUAAAGCUGUGUACACACCAUACCUUUAAAUAAUCCUGGAAAGUGUAGUUUCUUAAAGAGUGCUGGGAAUUGUAGCUCUGUAAGGGGUAAACUACAGUUUCCAGAUUUUUUGGGAAGAGACAUGAUUUGAAUCUGCUAUAAAGGUAUUUCAUUCUUUUUUAAGUGCCUUUGCUUUCUUAAGCACAUUCAUUUUAUCCUUUGCCUAGGGGGUACAUGACAUUUAGGAAAUUUGGGGCAACAAUAACAAGUGACAUAAUGGAAAUAUCAUACCAAACUUAAAGAAAGGUACGAGGACGGGGGGGAAACUUGAUACGGCACAAGCUACAACUCUCUCACUGAAAGAUCUGCACCACAUUGGAAGAGUCCAUGAUCCCAUGCCUUCCCAACUUUUGAGUAAUAUGACAAUGCUACUAUGGGAAGGAGUUACAAUUUAGUGUUCACUUCAAUCCAGGUACUGUCAUUUGAAAGGAUUCUUGAUUCAUGUGGGUUUCUUUCUAUGAGGCAAAGAGGUUACACCUUGAAGCCACGGCGCUUUGGAAAUAUUAAAAGCAGAUGGCAGGUUUCAAAGCAGUUCAGAUCGCAAAGUGAGAUGAAAAAGCUUGAGAGCACAGCUUUGAAAUGAAGUGAUAUUAGCUUGGGGUCUUAUGAGCAAACAGCUUAAUAUAGUGAUCUCAAUCAUCUCCCCCCACCUGCAAUCUCAGGGGAGAUAACUUGAUAAAUUGAUGCAUUACAAUAUUUUACACAUCAUUUUCCAGGUCAGCUUAGGAAGACGGACGCCCUUUCUCUAAGAAAACCCAUGAACACACGUACACAAACAGAACAGGCAGACAGAAGGAUAAAGGAAACAGGGGCGCCGGGAGAGAAAGAGAUGGGGGGGGGGAACCUUUCUGAAGUUAUUGGUGAUGCUUAUCUAAAAAUGAAACCUGCAGCUUCUGAAAACA